CCCCUCUCAGACUCUCAUCUGGAGAGUUUCCAGUAUUCUACCAGUCUCAGCUAUGGGAGGAAGAGUCAAGCAGAGACAUAUCCAUUCCAUUCCUAGCUUGGGCAGUGGCUAGCGAGUGGAAGGCAAUCUACUACAAAU
rfam:Ornithorhynchus anatinus chromosome 1, whole genome shotgun sequence.